AGAAUCAACGCUGGCGGCGUGCCUAACACAUGCAAGUCGAACGAGAAAGGGGAGCAAUCCCUGAGUAAAGUGGCGACCGGGUGAGUAACACGUGACUAACCUACCCUCGAGUGUGGAAUAACAUCGGGAAAACCGAUGCUAAUACCGCAUAACAUCGGCGCUUUUAAGAGAUGCCGAUCAAAGGAGCAAUCCGCUUGAGGAGGGGGUCGCGGCUGAUUAGCUAGUUGGCGGGGUAACGCCCACCAAGGCGAAGAUCGGUA
rnacentral:rRNA from 1 species